GUCUAUGGCCAUGCUACCCUGAACACACUCAAUCCCGUCUAAUCUCGGUAGCUAAGCAGGAUCAGGCCUGGUUAGUACUUGAAUAGGAGACCAUCUAGGAAUACUGGGUGCUGUAGGUA
rnacentral:rRNA from 1 species